rnacentral:rRNA from 1 species
UACGUAGGGGGCAAGCGUUGUCCGGAAUCAUUGGGCGUAAAGAGCGUGUGAGGCGGUCCGGUAAGUCGGCUGUGAAAGUCCAGGGCUCAACCCUGGGAUGCCGGUCGAUACUGCCGGACUAGAGUUCGGAAGAGGCGAGUGGAAUUCCCGGUGUAGCGGUGAAAUGCGCAGAGUAUACGGGAGGAACACCUAUGGCGAAGGCAGCUCGCUGGGACGUUACUGACGCUGAGACGCGAAA